rnacentral:rRNA from 1 species
ACUGUGAAACUGCGAAUGGCUCAUUAAAUCAGUUAUGGUUUAUUUGAUGGUACCUUACUACUUGGAUAACCGUAGUAAUUCUAGAGCUAAUACAUGCAGGAGGUCCCGACUUCGGAAGGGAUGUAUUUAUUAGAUAAGAAACCAACCCGGCUUGCCGGUUGCGUGCUGAGUCACAAUAACUGCUCGAAUCGCAUGGCCUUGCGCCGGCGAUGGUUCAUUCAAAUUUCUGCCCUAUCAGCUUUCGAUGGUAGGAUCGAGGCCUACCAUGGCGUUUACGGGUAACGGAGAAUUAGGGUUCGAUUCCGGAGAGGGAGCCUGAGAAAUGGCUACCACAUCCAAGGAAGGCAGCAGGCGCGUAAAUUGCCCGAAUCCUGACACAGGGAGGUAGUGACAAGAAAUAACAAUACAGGGCUAUUUUAGUCUUGUAAUUGGAAUGAGUACAAUUUACAUCUCUUCACGAGGAUCAAUUGGAGGGCAAGUCUGGUGCCAGCAGCCGCGGUAAUUCCAGCUCCAAUAGCGUAUACUAAAGUUGUUGCAGUUAAAACGCUCGUAGUCGGAUUUCGGGGCGGGGCGACCGGUCUGCCGAUGGGUAUGCACUGGCCGCCGCGUCCUUCCUUCCGGAGACUGCGCCUACUCUUANCUGAGCGGGCGUGGGAGACGGAUCGUUUACUUUGAAAAAAUCAAGUGUUUCAAGCAGCAGCUCGCUCUUGCAUGGAUUACAUGGGAUAAUGAAAUAGACUUUGGUGCUAUUUUGUUGGUUUCAACACCGAAUAAUGAUUAACA